AACGAACGCUGGCGGCAUGCCUAACACAUGCAAGUCGAACGAGACCUCCGUGUCUAGUGGCGCACGGGUGCGUAACGCGGGGGAACCUGCCCGUAGGUUCCGAAUAACUCCCCUUAGGGGGUGCUAAUACCGGUUAAUGUCUUCGGACAAAGGAUGUAUCGCCUUUGGGUGGGCCCGCGUUGGAUUAGCCAGUUGGUAGUGUAAAAGCCUAUCAAGGCGUGGAUCCUUAGCUGGUCUGAGAGGAUGCUCUGCCACACUGGGGAUGAGGCACGGCCCAGAAUCCUACGGAAGGGAGCAGUGUAGAAUACAGGACGAGGGACGAUGGUGUGAUCCCGCCAUGCCGGGUAAGUCAUGAAGGGGUUAGGGUUGUGCAGCUGUUUUAGCCGGGGCGAUAAUGACGGUACCGGGAGAAUAAGCACCGGCUAACUCCGUG
rnacentral:rRNA from 1 species